rnacentral:rRNA from 1 species
AACGAACGCUGGCGGCAUGCCUAACACAUGCAAGUCGAACGAGACCUCCGGGCCUCUGGGCUCACGUGUGCGGAACGCGCAGGAACCUGCCCGUAAGUUCGGAAUAACUCCCCAAAAGGGGUUCUAAUACCGGACAAAGUCUUCGAGCCCAUCAGUUAUCGCCUUUGGGUGGGCCGGGGCUGGAUUAGCUGGUUGGUAGGGGCAAAGCCUGCCAACAGGACGAUCCAUAGCUGGUCUGGGAGGAUGCCCAGCCACAAUGGGGCUGCGACACGGCCCAGAACCCUACGGCAGGCAGUCGUGGGCACUAUUGGCCAUGGGGCGACAGCUGGAUCCAGCCAUGCCGCGUGCGUGCUGAAGGCCUUAGGGUUGUAAACCUCUUUUACCCGGGAUGAUAAUGACAGUACCGGGAGAAUAAGCUCCGGCUACCUCCGUG